CAUGCCUUUUAUGGGUUGUCGCCAGCCAUAAUGUGCAGGUCGGACAUGAGGCAAUAAUAGCUUGGCCCACCAACCACAUGGCUUCUACCACCCUGUCAGCGUAGGGGUGAAUGGAGCAUAGGGGCAGCAGAGUUGGUGGGGUCUGCUGAGUGCUUCUGGCGUAGCAGUUCGGCAGUGCCGAGCUGUUUGAAGUCAUUACAGAUAUAAACUGCUUGUUGCAGCAACUCACAAUCGCAUUCCUGCCCGUCAUGUCGAACAGCGGAGCGCUAAUUUCAGUUUGAGGUCUGCACUCUUACUACAAUGCAAAUGGUGACAGCAUCAGGCUGCACUCUGUUACAGUCGUGAAUCAUGGACCAAGAUUGCACUCUUAGGCCCACUCCUUUUUGGUGGAUCGGGUCUUGCCAUCUUCACCUUUCGUGGCUUCCUGUCGUAAUUAAAUAAAUUGUCAUAUUUUUUUCUGAUGGUGGUGCAUACCUCUUGCCACACUUGACAGAAAUAGUGUGGUGAAUCCAUGCCACGGAUUACUGCGAAACAUGAGAGAAGGUAAUUAUUGAGAAGAUUAAGCUCCGAAAAGUUUGAUGGAAAGACGAUAGAUAUACCCCGUUUAAUAUUUCUGGCCACUUUAAGCAUGCUAUCCCCUAAGUAUUUCAGCCUAUCAUUGCAUCGGCUUUUGACCAUUCACACUUGCAAGGAAAGGCUAUCAG